rnacentral:rRNA from 1 species
ACGGUGGGUGCUAGUUGUGGGCCACAUUCCACGUGGUCCGUGACGAAGUUAACACAUUAAGCACCCCGCCUGGGGAGUACGGUCGCAAGACUAAAACUCAAAGGAAUUGACGGGGGCCCGCACAAGCGGCGGAGCAUGCGGAUUAAUUCGAUGCAACGCGAAGAACCUUACCAAGGCUUGACAUAUAGAGGAAACGUGCAGAAAUGUACGCCCCGCAAGGUCUCUAUACAGGUGGUGCAUGGUUGUCGUCAGCUCGUGUCGUGAGAUGUUGGGUUAAGUCCCGCAACGAGCGCAACCCUCGUCCUAUGUUGCCAGCACGUAAUGGUGGGAACUCAUGGGAGACUGCCGGGGUCAACUCGGAGGAAGGUGGGGAUGACGUCAAAUCAUCAUGCCCCUUAUGUCUUGGGCUUCACGCAUGCUACAAUGGCCAGUACAAAGGGCUGCAAUACCGUAAGGUGGAGCGAAUCCCAAAAAGCUGGUCUCAGUUCGGAUUGAGGUCUGCAACUCGACCUCAUGAAGUCGGAGUCGCUAGUAAUCGCAGAUCAGCAACGCUGCGGUGAUACGUUCCCGGGCCUUGUACACACCGCCCGUCAAGUCACGAAAGUCGGUAACACCCGAAGCCGGUGGCCUAACCGCAAGGAAGGAGCCGUCGAAGGU